UGUGGUGCGGCACGCCAUCGGGCUGAGGUUUCCAUGUGGUACGUCGUACCCCGACUGGCGACCGGUCGGCCGCGGCCGGGGAGCUGCGCAGGCAGGCGGUAGUGGCGGCGCAGUGUCGAUCGCUUGAUCGUACGCCUCGGUGCGUGGAGUAGGUGCCAAGCCAUAUGCAUGGCAUGCCGCCGUGCUGCGGGACGGCAGGCCGGGACGCGCGCGGCCGCUGAAUUAGCACUGGCAGUGGCAGUGGAAGUGGCAGGGACGCGAUAGAUGCACGCCUGCCGCGCCUUGCAGCGACACUACCGAAGUGGCCGGCGUAGGUUCUUGGCUGGUGUGGCUCUGACUGCCUGAGUUGGAUUGUUGGCUGUUGAGUGGCAGGAGUGGAGCUCAAGUGUCAACGGCGCAAGGAGAUAUGCAUGACAUCCGUGCACUCAUGUUGCACAAUCUACAAGUGAUACUUCUAGCUUUGGGACUGUCUACGGGAGGGAUAUGUAUCGCUUCUAGCGGGGACGAAGGAGGUCUCGCCUCAAGAGCACCGUCCCCGUAGGCCGUAGCUAUUAUGGGAGUGGGACUGACACCCUAAUAGCCUCCUUCAUGCUAGUUCGUUUUUCCUUCUUCUGUUUUUUUUCCAUUUGUAUGUUUUUCUCUCGUGUGAAAAACAGCACCAGUACAUAUAAUUCAAACUUGAAUUUACUUCAAAACAUACCGUGAAUUUGAAAAGUCUUACCGCGU
rnacentral:lncRNA from 1 species